rnacentral:rRNA from 1 species
GACGAACGCUGGCGGCGUGCCUAAUACAUGCAAGUUGAGCGAUGAAGCUUGGUGCUUGCACCAAUUUGAAGAGCAGCGAACGGGUGAGUAACGCGUGGGGAAUCUGCCUUUGAGCGGGGGACAACAUUUGGAAACGAAUGCUAAUACCGCAUAACAACUUUAAACAUAAGUUUUAAGUUUGAAAGAUGCAAUUGCAUCACUCAAAGAUGAUCCCGCGUUGUAUUAGCUAGUUGGUGAGGUAAAGGCUCACCAAGGCGAUGAUACAUAGCCGACCUGAGAGGGUGAUCGGCCACAUUGGGACUGAGACACGGCCCAAACUCCUACGGGAGGCAGCAGUAGGGAAUCUUCGGCAAUGGACGAAAGUCUGACCGAGCAACGCCGCGUGAGUGAAGAAGGUUUUCGGAUCGUAAAACUCUGUUGGUAGAGAAGAACGUUGGUGAGAGUGGAAAGCUCAUCGAGUGACGGUAACUACCCAGAAAGGGACGGCUAACUACGUG